rnacentral:rRNA from 1 species
GACGAACGCUGGCGGCGUGCUUAACACAUGCAAGUCGAACGGAAAGGCCCUGCUUGCAGGGUACUCGAGUGGCGAACGGGUGAGUAACACGUGGGUGAUCUGCCCUGCACUUCGGGAUAAGCCUGGGAAACUGGGUCUAAUACCGGAUAGGAGCCAUUUUUAGUGUGAUGGUUGGAAAGUUUUUUCGGUGUAGGAUGAGCUCGCGGCCUAUCAGCUUGUUGGUGGGGUAAUGGCCUACCAAGGCGGCGACGGGUAGCCGGCCUGGGGGGGUGGACGGCCACAAUGGGACUGAGGUACGGCCCAGGCUCCUACGGGAGGCAGCAGUGGGGAAUAUUGCACAAUGGGCGCAAGCCUGAUGCAGCGACGCCGCGGGGGGGAUGACGGGCUUCGGGUUGUAAACUCCUUUCGCUAGGGACGAAGCUUUUUGUGACGGUACCUAGAUAAGAAGCACCGGCUAACUACGUG